AUACACUCAUUAAGUAAAUAUGUUAAUAAUAUUAUUGCUCAAACAACCUUAUUUAACUGGCUAAUAACAAAUAUUAGGAACAUGGCAACCUGCAUUAUUAUUAUAUAAGUGAAUUCAAUUAUUUAGCUAGUCGUUAAAAUAAAAAUGGACAUAAACAAAUCUUGUUACAUUACAAUUGAAGAAGAUAUCGAAAUCAAGAAUAAAAAAAAAAUGUACACAAAAAUAAGAAAUUUCAAAGGUAGAUGUAUAUGGAUUGAAAAGUACAUAUACGACAAUAAUUAAAACAUCCUUAAAUGUAUGUGCAACUGCUACGGGCUUGGAAGUUUGUCUUACAGACGUACGAAAUACAUUUUCAGUUGUGACUUACCGGAAUUCGUUGAUAUUUUUGAUCUUCAAAAGUCAUAUAUAAUAUUAUUAUAAUUAAUAAUAGUAUUGUAAUUGAAAUUAGCAUUAAAUUUCUUAUUUCUGUGUA